rnacentral:rRNA from 1 species
UACGUAGGGUGCAAGCGUUGUCCGGAAUCAUUGGGCGUAAAGCGCGCGUAGGUGGUCAUGUAAGUCCGCUGUGAAAGUCAAGGGCUCAACCUUUGAAAGCCGGUGGAUACUGCAUGACUAGAGUACGGAAGAGGCGAGUGGAAUUCCUGGUGUAGCGGUGGAAUGCGCAGAUAUCAGGAGGAACACCAAUAGCGAAGGCAGCUCGCUGGGGACGUUACUGACACUGAGGCGCGAAAGCGUGGGGAGCGAACAGG